UUAAGUUAUUAAGGGCGCACGGUGGAUGCCUUGGCACUAGAAGCCGAUGAAGGACGUUACUAACGACGAUAUGCUUUGGGGAGCUGUAAGUAAGCUUUGAUCCAGAGAUUUCCGAAUGGGGAAACCCAGCAUGAGUUAUGUCAUGUUAUCGAUAUGUGAAUACAUAGCAUAUCAGAAGGCACACCCGGAGAACUGAAACAUCUUAGUACCCGGAGGAAGAGAAAGAAAAUUCGAUUCCCUUAGUAGCGGCGAGCGAAACGGGAAGAGCCCAAACCAACAAGCUUGCUUGUUGGGGUUGUAGGACACUCUAUACGGAGUUACAAAAGACGACAUUAGACGAAUCAUCUGGAAAGAUGAAUCAAAGAAGGUAAUAAUCCUGUAGUCGAAAAUGUUGUCUCUCUUGAGUGGAUCCUGAGUACGACGGAGCACGUGAAAUUCCGUCGGAAUCUGGGAGGACCAUCUCCUAAGGCUAAAUACUCUCUAGUGACCGAUAGCGAACCAGUACCGUGAGGGAAAGGUGAAAAGCACCCCGGAAGGGGAGUGAAAUAGAACCUGAAACCGUGUGCUUACAAGUAGUCAGAGCCCGUUAAUGGGUGAUGGCGUGCCUUUUGUAGAAUGAACCGGCGAGUUACGAUUUGAUGCAAGGUUAAGCAGUAAAUGUGGAGCCGUAGCGAAAGCGAGUCUGAAUAGGGCGUUUAGUAUUUGGUCGUAGACCCGAAACCAGGUGAUCUACCCUUGGUCAGGUUGAAGUUCAGGUAACACUGAAUGGAGGACCGAACCGACUUACGUUGAAAAGUGAGCGGAUGAACUGAGGGUAGCGGAGAAAUUCCAAUCGAACCUGGAGAUAGCUGGUUCUCUCCGAAAUAGCUUUAGGGCUAGCCUCAAGUGAUGAUUAUUGGAGGUAGAGCACUGUUUGGACGAGGGGCCCCUCUCGGGUUACCGAAUUCAGACAAACUCCGAAUGCCAAUUAAUUUAACUUGGGAGUCAGAACAUGGGUGAUAAGGUCCGUGUUCGAAAGGGAAACAGCCCAGACCACCAGCUAAGGUCCCAAAAUAUAUGUUAAGUGGAAAAGGAUGUGGCGUUGCCCAGACAACUAGGAUGUUGGCUUAGAAGCAGCCAUCAUUUAAAGAGUGCGUAAUAGCUCACUAGUCGAGUGACACUGCGCCGAAAAUGUACCGGGGCUAAACAUAUUACCGAAGCUGUGGAUUGUCCUUUGGACAAUGGUAGGAGAGCGUUCUAAGGGCGUUGAAGCAUGAUCGUAAGGACAUGUGGAGCGCUUAGAAGUGAGAAUGCCGGUGUGAGUAGCGAAAGACGGGUGAGAAUCCCGUCCACCGAUUGACUAAGGUUUCCAGAGGAAGGCUCGUCCGCUCUGGGUUAGUCGGGUCCUAAGCUGAGGCCGACAGGCGUAGGCGAUGGAUAACAGGUUGAUAUUCCUGUACCACCUAUAAUCGUUUUAAUCGAUGGGGGGACGCAGUAGGAUAGGCGAAGCGUGCGAUUGGAUUGCACGUCUAAGCAGUAAGGCUGAGUAUUAGGCAAAUCCGGUACUCAUUAAGGCUGAGCUGUGAUGGGGAGAAGACAUUGUGUCUUCGAGUCGUUGAUUUCACACUGCCGAGAAAAGCCUCUAGAUAGAAAAUAGGUGCCCGUACCGCAAACCGACACAGGUAGUCAAGAUGAGAAUUCUAAGGUGAGCGAGCGAACUCUCGUUAAGGAACUCGGCAAAAUGACCCCGUAACUUCGGGAGAAGGGGUGCUCUUUAGGGUUAACGCCCAGAAGAGCCGCAGUGAAUAGGCCCAAGCGACUGUUUAUCAAAAACACAGGUCUCUGCUAAACCGUAAGGUGAUGUAUAGGGGCUGACGCCUGCCCGGUGCUGGAAGGUUAAGAGGAGUGGUUAGCUUCUGCGAAGCUACGAAUCGAAGCCCCAGUAAACGGCGGCCGUAACUAUAACGGUCCUAAGGUAGCGAAAUUCCUUGUCGGGUAAGUUCCGACCCGCACGAAAGGCGUAACGAUUUGGGCACUGUCUCAACGAGAGACUCGGUGAAAUCAUAGUACCUGUGAAGAUGCAGGUUACCCGCGACAGGACGGAAAGACCCCGUGGAGCUUUACUGUAGCCUGAUAUUGAAAUUCGGCACAGCUUGUACAGGAUAGGUAGGAGCCUUUGAAACGUGAGCGCUAGCUUACGUGGAGGCGCUGGUGGGAUACUACCCUAGCUGUGUUGGCUUUCUAACCCGCACCACUUAUCGUGGUGGGAGACAGUGUCAGGCGGGCAGUUUGACUGGGGCGGUCGCCUCCUAAAAGGUAACGGAGGCGCUCAAAGGUUCCCUCAGAAUGGUUGGAAAUCAUUCAUAGAGUGUAAAGGCAUAAGGGAGCUUGACUGCGAGACCUACAAGUCGAGCAGGGUCGAAAGACGGACUUAGUGAUCCGGUGGUUCCGCAUGGAAGGGCCAUCGCUCAACGGAUAAAAGCUACCCCGGGGAUAACAGGCUUAUCUCCCCCAAGAGUUCACAUCGACGGGGAGGUUUGGCACCUCGAUGUCGGCUCAUCGCAUCCUGGGGCUGUAGUCGGUCCCAAGGGUUGGGCUGUUCGCCCAUUAAAGCGGUACGCGAGCUGGGUUCAGAACGUCGUGAGACAGUUCGGUCCCUAUCCGUCGUGGGCGUAGGAAAUUUGAGAGGAGCUGUCCUUAGUACGAGAGGACCGGGAUGGACAUACCUCUGGUGUACCAGUUGUCGUGCCAACGGCAUAGCUGGGUAGCUAUGUGUGGACGGGAUAAGUGCUGAAAGCAUCUAAGCAUGAAGCCCCCCUCAAGAUGAGAUUUCCCAACUUCGGUUAUAAGAUCCCUCAAAGAUGAUGAGGUUAAUAGGUUCGAGGUGGAAGCAUGGUGACAUGUGGAGCUGACGAAUACUAAUCGAUCGAAGACUUAAUCAA
rnacentral:rRNA from 1 species